UACGAAGGGGGCUAGCGUUGUUCGGAAUCACUGGGCGUAAAGCGCACGUAGGCGGAUCUUUAAGUCAGGGGUGAAAUCCCAGAGCUCAACUCUGGAACUGCCUUUGAUACUGGGUAUCUUGAGUAUGGAAGAGGUAAGUGGAAUUGCGAGUGUAGAGGUGAAAUUCGUAGAUAUUCGCAGGAACACCAGUGGCGAAGGCGGCUUACUGGUCCAUUACUGACGCUGAGGUGCGAAAGCGUGGGGAGCAAACAGG
rnacentral:rRNA from 1 species